UUGAUAUGUUUAUAUGAAAAUUAUGUGUUUAUAUAUGUGCUUGUAUAUAGAAUGACACAGACACAACUUGUAUCAUUAUAAAGUCUCUCUUCCUCAUCGUGAGCUCUUCUCUCAGUUGUUGGGAGAUUAACUUGCAUUCUCCAGAGUCUCUCUUCCUCAUCGUGAGCUCUUCUCUCCGUUGUCAAGGAUCUACAGUCACCUCCCUCCAUCACUUGUGGAUUGUUUGGUUUAGGUGUACCUUGACCUUCCGAUGGCCGGGGGCCGGGAAGCCAACCGCCUUUGCCUCCGGUUG
rnacentral:lncRNA from 1 species